CUUCUUUUCAAGUAGCUUUCCUUCGUAUGUACUCUGACAAGUCAAUAUCACAACGCUGGAGCAGGAGGAGGUUACUCGUGGCAACGGGUUUAUGAUCACGUCGCAAGAUGGCGUUUGCGAGGGAUCGUAAUGCCUGUUGCCGCGGGGAGCACAAGGUGUCAAGUUCCUGAAUCCCUGACGUCACAAACGGUGGGGAGGGACUGAAGGACGAUGAGAGAGCCAAACUAGAGUCGGAGUGACUAGCGAAGCGGAGUGAGUGUAUCGGUGUUUGUUAUUCAUGUUUGAUCUCGAUGCAACGAGUGCAAGAAGAUGAACAUGUGCAUACCAAUGUGGAAAUGAGUACCUGAAAGUGCGAAAAACGUUUCGCACAUGUGCGACAAUUUAGAAACAGAUGCAAAGUGCACGAAAAUGUGGGGAAACCCCCACCUGUGCUGGAAUCUCUGAUAUGUGGUAGUUCCUCUCAAAACGUUUACUUUUUAAUUGUUAUGAUCUGUGAUUGCCGGUGGUAGCAGAGGUUUCCUCACCUAAUUUUUUGCUGUGUUGGUGUAUCCUUGGACCGUAACUUUCAUCCUGCCGACUCCCGUUACGUCAAACCGUGACAUGCCGCGAAGGAAAGGCCACGGAGUGUCCCCCGCAAAACGAGCCCAAGUAAAUAAGGAUGAUCAUCAAGCAAAAAAGAAAUCAGUGGAGACUAAUGCGGAGGCUGUGGUCGCGGAACCCCGGGCACCUAACGGCAGCCACGAGGCCGUGUCCCCAGCUCAGAGGGAC